UGCCAGCAGCCGCGGUAACACGGGGGGCGCAAGCGUUAUUCGGAAUUAUUGGGCGUAAAGGGCGCGCAGGCGGUCUAGUAAGUCAGAUGUGAAAGCCCCUGGCUCAACCAGGGAACUGCCUUUGAUACUGUUUAUCUAGAGUCCGAGAGAGGUUAGUGGAAUUCCCAGUGUAGAGGUGAAAUUCGUAGAUAUUGGGAAGAACACCAGUGGCGAAGGCGGCUAACUGGCUCGGUACUGACGCUGAGAUGCGAAAGCGUGGGGAGCAAACAGGAUUAGAUA
rnacentral:rRNA from 1 species